AAAGUCGUAACAAGGUCUCCGUUGGUGAACCAGCGGAGGGAUCAUUAUUGAGUUUACUCUUUAUUAUCACCCUGUGAAUCUACAGUUGCUUCGUGGACAUCUGUCCACGGAAUCAUCCUUCUUUUUUUAUUCUACUGAGUUAAAAAUAUAAACGUGAAAACUUUCAACAACGGAUCUCUUGGUUCUG
rnacentral:misc_RNA from 1 species